UACGUAGGGACCAAGCGUUGUUCGGAUUUACUGGGCGUAAAGGGCGCGUAGGCGGCGCGGUAAGUCACUUGGGAAAUCUCUGAGCUUAACUCAGAACGGCCAAGUGAUACUGCAGUGCUAGAGUGCAGAAAGGGCAAUCGGAAUUCUUGGUGUAGCGGUGAAAUGCGUAGAUAUCAAGAGGAACACCUGAGGCGAAGGCGGGUUGCUAGGCUGACACUGACGCUGAGUGCGCGAAAGCCAGGGGAGCAAACGGG
rnacentral:rRNA from 1 species